AAGUCUGCCCCACUAGUCUGGGAUACCACUUGGAAACAGGUGCUAAUACCGGAUAAGAAAGCAGAUCGCAUGAUCAGCUUUUAAAAGGCGGCGUAAGCUGUCGCUAUGGGAUGGCCCCGCGGUGCAUUAGCUAGUUGGUAAGGUAAAGGCUUACCAAGGCGAUGAUGCAUAGCCGAGUUGAGAGACUGAUCGGCCACAUUGGGACUGAGACACGGCCCAA
rnacentral:rRNA from 1 species